AAACGCGCUUGGGAAACGUUGAAAAAAAGCUUUGCGACAGGGAAACUCGAGGCGAAAAGGACUAUAAGAGGAGAUCUAAGAUUCCCUUAAGAGACUUCAAUUGACUUAAGCAAGUCACCAGCCACGUUUCAUUCGCACAACAACGAGAACAAUUAAGACUAUAUUAAUCAUCUAUUUCUCUCUUUCUUUAUUUCCCUUCUCUUUGACUGAGUCGACAAAUUACGGUCAGUGGCCGUUUUACGGACGCAAAUUCAAUUACCGUUUCGCACAGAGACCGGCCAACAUAAAUAAUUACCAACGAAGCCAGACUCGUGGUCGUUCGGAGGAAGUAAAAUAGAUGAAUAGAAAAAGAGGAAGAGAACUUGUGAUUCUUCGUGGUUUUUGUGAUCGCAAAAAUCCGAUGCUAGCGUUGUAACAGCAUAAAUCAUUGUUAUCUAGUCACAAAUAAUCGAUGUUAUCAUAUAAGAAUUAUUUGAGACUUUGAGACUUUCAUUAUUGAUCAAAUUUAAAACUAGGAAUUUCAAAUUUAUAUAAUGUUGUAUAAUAUUUCAUCUAAAGUGAAUUCAAGUGUUGACUUCUAUAAGUUCAUCUAUGAGAAAAUUAAUUACAUCAUAUUAUAUCAUCUUGAAACCAUUCAAUAUUUAUUUGAAACGUUUUUUGAUACUUUUAAAAACAAACGAUAUUCUAGAUGAUGAAUUUAAAUGAAAAUAGUAAGUUAAAAAAUAUCAUAAUAUAAUAUUUCUUAUUAAGAAAUUUAUUUUAAUGCUAAGCUUUAUCAUGUUUGAAUAAUAGGAUUUAAAAUAUCGAACUUUAUGUGGACGUAACGCUGCUUACAUUCGUUGCUUCGAGGACGCUACUUCAUCUAACAUUUGAACGUUCCCUCUACAAUCGUGUUCUUUUGCAAUAAUACUCCAUAGUAUUUUAUUCUCAGUACCCCCUUUUCUCUACAAUGAGCUCUUUUGUAGCCGUUACUGUAUCGUCUUUUAUCAUUCUUGUUACGUUUUUCAUGUUUCUUACUCAACUGUAGUAAUGAGCAUUCAAUGAAACUCCAGGAUUUUAAAUCGUGCUUUGAAACUUCAAAUGCAUACAAGAUGAAUAUAAUAGAAACUUAAUCAUGGUUUGUGCAAAAUUAAAAAAAAAUAAAGAAUGAAAUAAAUUACCGACAGUAUAAUAUACAUAAACAGAAAGAUUUGAA